rnacentral:ncRNA from 2 species
GCUCUAUCGAGAGUGGUGGAGGGACAGGCCCUUUGAAACCCAGCAACCAGAUUAAGACUGGUGCUAAUUCCUGCAACAUGGAUACCAUUUGUCCUUGUUGAAAGAUAGUUG